AUUGAUUUCCGCAAGAAAGAAGCGAACCAUGGUUUAUCGCGCGGACGCAAGAUAUAUGGAUUCUAGAACACACGCGAGAAAUUUCACUGCAAUUUUUUGCCGGGUGCUAACCAUGUUACAGGCAAGAACCUAUUAUGGAGAGCCAUUCCUCCGUCACGGCUGCCAUUUCCGAGUGAGCGGAGAUUCAGCUUGCCAGUAGAGCUCACCUGGAUUUUUCAUUCAUUUAAUUGAUAUUACAAAUAUAAAAAACAACAACACAUUAUCUAAUAUUUUCCCGGGUGUUCAUCUGGUCCCAGGGUUCACUUCGGGUUUUGGUUUUUCUCCUUGCACUAGUUAUGAGCAGCCGUGAUCAUUACCGCCAAAUCUAAUAAGCUACAAGUCUGUCUAUUUUGUUUUGUGUGUACCAGUUUGCUUGCCCAUGUGUAUACCAUAUUUUGUCUUUGAUAAAAUGUAGGUCUGUACUUUAGUCAGAUUGAGACGGCAAUAUACAUGUAUUACAAAAUAAAAUAAUUGCAUCA